ensembl:lncRNA
AGCAAUUCCGCCUGUUUAUUAGUCAUUUUAAUGCCAGAUAGUUAGUAUUUUCCAUGUACUGCUAGCGUUGGCCUUAUUAACGGUAUCAAAACAAGUAGAAACAACUCAAACUGUGCAGAAUUAAUUCACUACAUAAGCAUCACUCCCAAUGCCAGCAUAAUAAAACAAACACUUCACCAUCAAUGAUGAAGUAGUGCAAUAUGGAAAAGCUUUGAUAAUGUUGCUAGUUUUAAACAAUAGUAACAAGUUACUAAGUUGUAUUGUAAUAGCAGCAUGGCUCAGCAUCACCAACACACAGCACUGUGCAUAGUGAGCACAGUAAAACACCUUAUGGCACCUAAGUGGUGUCAAUAUGGAUCCACGUCUGCACCCACUGUCUUACGUCAGGUGGCGUCAAUCCUACGCAAUGGUCGUCCCUCAACCGACGAUAACGGGAAUCAUCGUUAUCUGAUGUAAGACAAUGGGUCUGAACCCAUAGAGUUGGUUGGAACUGGAGCCUGUAGGCUACUUAGCACUCAGGAGGGUAAAGGUCUGUAGAGGGUAGAAGUCUGUAGAGGGUAGAAGUCUGUAGAGGGUAGAAGUCUGUAGAGGGUAGAAGUCUGUAGAGGCUAGAGGUCUGUAGAGGCUAGAGGUCUGUAGAGGCUAGAGGUCUGUAGAGGCUAGAGGUCUGUAGAGGGUAGAGGUCUGUAGAGGUCUGUAGAGGGUAGAAGUCUGUAGACGUCUGUAGAGGGUAGAAGUCUGUAGAAGUCUGUAGAGGGUAGAAGUCUGUAGAGGGUAGAGGUCUGUAGAAGUCUGUAGAGGGUAGAAGUCUGUAGAGGGUAGAGGUCUGUAGAGGGUAGAGGUCUGUAGAAGUCUGUAGAGGGUAGAAGUCUAGAGGGUAGAGGUCUGUAGAGGGUAGAGGUCUGUAGACGUCUGUAGAGGGUAGAAGUCUGUAGACGUCUGUAGAGGGUAGAAGUCUGUAGAAGUUUGUAGAGGGUAGAAGUCUGUAGAGGGUAGAAGUCUGUAGGAGUCUGUAGAGGGUAGAAGUCUGUAGAGGGUAGAAGUCUGUAGACAUCUGUAGAGGGUAGAAGUCUGAGAAGGCUAGAGGUCUGUAGAGGCUAGAGGUCUGUAGAGGCUAGAGGUCUGUAGAGGGUAGAAGUCUGUAGAGGUCUGUAGAGGGUAGAAGUCUGUAGACGGUAGAAGUCUGUAGACGUCUGUAGAGGGUAGAAGUCUGUAGACGUCUGUAGAGGGUAGAAGUCUGUAGACGUCUGUAGAGGGUAGAAGUCUGUAGACGUCUCUAGAGGGUAGAGGUCUGUAGACGUCUCUAGAGGGUAGAGGUCUGUAGACGUCUGUAGAGGGUAGAGGUCUGUAGACGUCUCUAGAGGGUAGAAGUCUGUAGACGUCUCUAGAGGGUAGAAGUCUGUAGACGUCUCUAGAGGGUAGAAGUCUGUAGACGUCUCUAGAGGGUAGAAGUCUGUAGACGUCUGUAGAGGGUAGAAGUCUGUAGACGUCUCUAGAGGGUAGAAGUCUGUAGACGUCUCUAGAGGGUAGAAGUCUGUAGAAGUCUGUAGAGGGUAGAAGUCUGUAGGAGUCUGUAGAGGGUAGAAGCCUGUAGAAGCCUGUAGAGAGUAGAAGCCUGUAGACAUUACCUGUUUAUUUCGCCCCAAUUUCAUGGUUUCCAAUUGGUAGGUAGUUUUGUCCCAUCGCUGCAACUCCCAUAUGGAGAGGCGAAGGUUGAGAGUUGUGCGUCGCACGAAACACGAACCAGCCAAGCCACACUGCUUCUUGACACAACGCCCGCUUAACCCGGAAGCCAGCCGCACCAAUGUUCUGUAUACACCGUACACCUGGCAACCGUGUCAGGGGCCAUGUGCCCGGCCCACCACAGGAGUAACUAGAGCGCGAUGGGAAAUGUUAAUCUUGGCCUGUCAAACCCUCUCCUAACCUGGAUGACGCUGGGCCAAUUGUGUGCCGCCUCAUGGGUCUCCCAGGAACUGGCCAGCUGUGACACAGCCUGGGAUCGAACCCAGGUCUCUAGUGACGCCUCAAAGACUGCGAUGAAGUACCUUAGACUGCUGCGCCACUCGAGAGGCUCCCGCAAAUUGAUUUUAACAAAAUUGAUCUCCCAAAAAAUGCUCCCCCCCAUUGAAUUUCAAAAUCCCGAUGUGGCCCUCGAGCCAAAAAGUUUGCCCACCCCUGCUAUAGAGGGUAGGAGUCGGUAGUGCUAGCCUGUACGAUCUGUAGGCUACACAGGUAGGUAAACUCUUAGAAAAAACUGUUCCAAAAAAGUCCCCAUAGGAGAACCCUUUUUGGUUCCUGGUAAAACCUUCUGUGGAAAGGGUACCACAUGGAACCAAAAAGGGUUCUCCUAUGGGGACAGCCGAAGAACCCUUUUCGGUUGUAGAUAGCACCUUUUUUUCUAAGAGUGUAGUAUAGGCUACACUAGACUCAAGGGGAUAGGAGGCUUUUCAUUGGCUACACUAGACCCAAGGGGGUAGGAGGCUUUACAUUGGCUACACUAGACCCAAAGGGGUAGGAG